UACGUAGGUGGCAAGCGUUGUUCGGAAUUAUUGGGCGUAAAGAGCUCGUAGGCGGCUUGUCGCGUCGUUCGUGAAACCUGCAGCUUAACUGUGGCUUGCAGCUGAUACGGCGGCUAGAGUUCGGUAGGGGAGACUGAAUCUGUGUAGCGGUGAAAUGCGCAGAUAUCAGAGAACACCGUGGCGAAGGCGGGUCUCUGGCCGAUACUGACGCUGAGGAGCGAAAGCGUGGGGGGGAGCGAACAGG
rnacentral:rRNA from 1 species